AGAGUUUGAUCAUGGCUCAGGAUGAACGCUGGCGGCGUGCCUAACACAUGCAAGUCGAGCGAUUCUCUUCGGAGAAGAGCGGCGGACGGGUGAGUAACGCGUGGGUAACCUGCCCUGUACACACGGAUAACAUACCGAAAGGUAUGCUAAUACGAGAUAAUAUGCUUUUGUCGCAUGGUAGAAGUAUCAAAGCUCCGGCGGUACAGGAUGGACCCGCGUCUGAUUAGCUAGUUGGUAAGGUAACGGCUUACCAAGGCGACGAUCAGUAGCCGACCUGAGAGGGUGAUCGGCCACAUUGGAACUGAGACACGGUCCAAACUCCUACGGGAGGCAGCAGUGGGGAAUAUUGCACAAUGGGCGAAAGCCUGAUGCAGCAACGCCGCGUGAGCGAUGAAGGCCUUCGGGUCGUAAAGCUCUGUCCUCAAGGAAGAUAAUGACGGUACUUGAGGAGGAAGCCCCGGCUAACUACGUGCCAGCAGCCGCGGUAAUACGUAGGGGGCUAGCGUUAUCCGGAAUUACUGGGCGUAAAGGGUGCGUAGGUGGUUUCUUAAGUCAGAGGUGAAAGGCUACGGCUCAACCGUAGUAAGCCUUUGAAACUGGGAAACUUGAGUGCAGGAGAGGAGAGUGGAAUUCCUAGUGUAGCGGUGAAAUGCGUAGAUAUUAGGAGGAACACCAGUUGCGAAGGCGGCUCUCUGGACUGUAACUGACACUGAGGCACGAAAGCGUGGGGGAGCAAACAGGAUUAGAUACCCUGGUAGUCCACGCCGUAAACGAUGAGUACUAGCUGUCGGAGGUUACCCCCUUCGGUGGCGCAGCUAACGCAUUAAGUACUCCGCCUGGGAAGUACGCUCGCAAGAGUGAAACUCAAAGGAAUUGACGGGGACCCGCACAAGUAGCGGAGCAUGUGGUUUAAUUCGAAGCAACGCGAAGAACCUUACCUAAGCUUGACAUCCUUUUGACCGAUGCCUAAUCGCAUUUUUCCCUUCGGGGACAGAAGUGACAGGUGGUGCAUGGUUGUCGUCAGCUCGUGUCGUGAGAUGUUGGGUUAAGUCCCGCAACGAGCGCAACCCUUGCCUUUAGUUGCCAGCAUUAAGAUGGGCACUCUAGAGGGACUGCCAGGGAUAACCUGGAGGAAGGUGGGGAUGACGUCAAAUCAUCAUGCCCCUUAUGCUUAGGGCUACACACGUGCUACAAUGGGUGGUACAGAGGGCAGCCAAGUCGUGAGGCGGAGCUAAUCCCUUAAAGCCAUUCUCAGUUCGGAUUGUAGGCUGAAACUCGCCUACAUGAAGCUGGAGUUACUAGUAAUCGCAGAUCAGAAUGCUGCGGUGAAUGCGUUCCCGGGUCUUGUACACACCGCCCGUCACACCACGGGAGUUGGGGGCGCCCGAAGCCGGAUUGCUAACCUUUUGGAAGCGUCCGUCGAAGGUGAAAUCAAUAACUGGGGUGAAGUCGUAACAAGGUAAAGGGC
rnacentral:rRNA from 1 species